rnacentral:misc_RNA from 1 species
CUGAGUUUGCAGAACUCCCAACCAUUGUGAACCUACCUAUCGUUGCUUCGGCGGGGGGGGGCCCUCAGCGGCCUCGCGCCCACCCCCUCGGGGGAGGCAGCCCGCCGGAGGCGUCCAAACUAUAGCAUACAUUGGCCUCUCUGAGUAGCUUAUAAAAUAAGUCA